AUGCAACAACAAUAGUGGAGACCGAAGAAGAUUCGGUUUGAGGUUCAUCAUCGCCAUGUAGAAAGUCUUCGGCUAACUUAGAUGCUGGUACUUCGCUUUUGAAGGCUUUGAACGAAAAAAAUAUGAAUUAAUAUUAAAUAUAUAUCAAUAAUAUAAAAUGUUAACAUUAAUAACACAAAAAACUCAUACCUUUUUCUCCAAACAACCAAUCUCUAGUGCAAAUAAUUGAUUGAAAUUUGAAAUGAAUGAAACCCUAAGGCCUAAACUAAGAAAUCGAAAAUUUAAAAAUUAAAAUAAAUAUUUAAUAAAAAUAAUAAUAUCACUAUCGGGUUACCUGAAUCCGACCCGAACCCAACCCAACCCGACCCGAAAUUAUCAGGUCCUUAUCAGGUCGACCCGAUAAGGACCCGAACCUUAUCGUGCGUGUUACUAACCCAUUAAUUUCGUGCGGUUUCGUGUCGUGUUUUCGUGUCGUGUCGAAAAUUGCCAGCCCUAACACAGUGUUUGGUACAACUGAGUUGACAAAAGCAGGAAAUGACAAAACUACCUUUUUAAUUUUUUGUAAUGACAGCCGUGUCCUUACCCUGUUCAAUUCCUGCGCAAUAAGCAGACCGGGGGGAAUUAAAUUCCAAUACAAAUUACUCUUUCUUCUUUCAUUGGCGACCUUUUUGGUAGGCUGCGAUAUUCUAUCGGGCAGUACCUGCGAAGAAUCAAAGCAAUAAAAGAAAUAGGUUCGACUCAGUAAGGUGCGAACCCUAUAUUUCAAUUUGAAUUGCUGUUGUGUGUACCGCGAUUAGCUCCGAUGAAGCUCUAGCCAAUGCUUAUGCGAAUCCCCCAGCUCAAUUGAACCCUUCAAUGGAGGAAUUGAAUCAGCGGCAGUUCACGGUACAUGGGAAAACUGAAAGAAUCACACAAAGAAAUUCAGGAGGAACGUAUAUAUAUUCAAGGAUUCAUUACCAUGCUCAAGGAUGCGCCGCGAGUUCGUCAUCACCAAUUCUUUUGAAAUCGAAAAAGUGAGUUGCCAAUUCGAGUUAUUUGAUUUUUUAAUUCGAAUACCAGGGGCAAAAUCGCGAUGAGUGAAUUUAGAAAGGAGUUAUUGUAGAGGGUGUUUGACUAAGCUUAUUUUGAAGGGCUUAUAAUUGGUCAAAGUGUUUGGAUAAUUGAACUUAUAAGCUUAGAG
rnacentral:lncRNA from 1 species